rnacentral:lncRNA from 10 species
GAAUGUGAGCCAGACAAAGGUAAGGUCAUUGCGGGGUGGAGGAGGGCUUGAAAUUGGUCAGUCAGGGCUUGUUGACUGAGGGGGUCCUGACAAAAUGGAUUGGGCGACAGGUAAGGCUGGGGCAGGGCCAGGAGGAGGAGGCCAUCAGGUCAGGGCUUGGAGGCCCAGGCCCCGCUGGGAGCUAAGAGUCCUGGAUUCCUGCCUACAGUUUGAGCUCCGGUGAAGCACUCCUUCUUGAUGGCUCUGGUUUCCCAGCAUAAUGUAAAUUGAAGAGAUCGAACCAGAUGAAUGGCAAGGUCCCUGGCAGCCCAGAUGUUUUGUGCAAGAAGAAAAGAGGUACAGAACACCCAGAGGUGCCCUCGAUUCCGUCUUGCACUUGCCCUUCUCCCACCGUCCAGCAAUAAAGCGAGAGAAACAAGUGCAGGAAACUGGCCGGCAGUCAUGGGAGAAGCCAAAAAGACAGGAGUUCAGUGGCAUGACCAGGGCUCACUGCAACCUUGAUCUGGGCUCAAGUGAUCCUCCUACCUCAGCUUCCUGAGUAGCUAGGACCACAGGUGUGCACCAACCACACCCGACUAAUUUUUGUAGAGAUGAGAUCCCACUAUGUUACCCAGGCUGGUCUUGAACUCCUGGGCUCAGGUGAUCAUCCUGCCUUGGCUUCCCAAAGUACUGGGAUUAUAGGCUUGAGCCACCGUGCCUGGCCUGUGAUCAGAAUUCUCAUUUUUUUAGUCACUAAAAAUGCUGGGGGGCACUCCAUUCUCCAUUAUGUGAUUAGUUCACAUUGCAUGCUUGUAUCAAAACAUCAUAUAUACCCCACAAAUAUAUACAAAAAACUUUAAAAUUUUAAGUAUUAAUUGCUCAGGAAAAAAUUAAAAUGCUGGGGUGCUGAAAUCUCAAGGGCCCCAUUACAAAACUCCUUAGGAACCUCGCCCUCUCUCUGCUGUAAGGACUGGUUCCAGAAUGAGAGAAUUUAAAAGACAUUCCCCCCCCAAAAUGUUCAUAAUGUCACCCCGGAAACCUGCGAAUAUGUUAUAUUACAUGACCAGGGAGAAGUAAGGUUGCAGAUGGCAGUAAGGUUGCUAAUGGGCUGACCUUAAGAUAAGGAGAUGAUCCUGGAUUAUCUGGGUGGACCCAAUGUAAUCACAAGGGUCCUUAACUGUGGAAUAGUGAGGUGGCUGAGUCAGAGGCAGAGUGAUGCAAUGACUGAAAGACUUAACCAGCCAUCACCGGCUUUGAAUACGGAAGACGGUCAUGAGCCAGGGAAUGCAGGCAGGCUCUGGGAGCUGAAAAAAGCAAGAAAAUGGAUUCUCCCCUGGAGCCUCCAGAAGGGAUGCGGUCCUGCCAACCCCUUGUCAGUGAGCCAUUUCAGAUUUCUGACUUCCAGGACUGUAAGAAAAUAAACUUGUCUUGUUUUCA